AAGAAAUGGUCAGACCUCCAAAUCUACCAGGCUCAAUAGCCACCUGAGUUUUAGGGAGAAUUCUAGAAUAUUACCUUGCAGCUCAGCGCAGGUCCCAUUGUGACCUCAUGCCCACAGGGCUGGGUUAGACUAGUCUUCAGCUACCAACAUGACGAGGCUGGUGGAGAGAGCUCACCUUCCAGUCCUCCACUCAACAUCUGGGGACAGAAUUGGCCCCAGGGGACUCCAUUUCACAGAGGCUCUUCCAUGAAAGACUGAGCUUCCGGUGGAUCACCAUUUGUAUUACUUACUGGGGCCUGUGUAAGCAGUGAACCAAGGAUCGGGUGCCUGAUUCCCAAAUCUGCCUUCACGAGUAACUUGCCAGUGAACUUGAGCGUCUCAUUCUCCAUCUGCCCGGUGCGGUGAUGAUGCUUGCCAAGCAGUCUCACAGGGUUCUGUUCUUUAUCCUGUGCCUGAGGUUGGACCCGAGGAAAAUUAGCCCACCUCUUUGCUUCUUGGAUACCUCGGAAUGAUUAGCCCUGAAUAUAGGAGCUGUACCCCUCAGAAAUGGGAGUAGGCCCUGGGCCCUUCUAGAUUGUUUCUAGAAAUAGGCUCAGUCUUCAGAUGCAGGCCUCACCAGAGCCCUUCCUUGGCAGCCUGCCUGUCCCGGUAGGGGAAGUGGUCCCUGGGAGAGGGAGCUAGUCUCGGAGACAGUUUGUCUGCCUUCUCUCCGAAGCUUCCUGUGUAUAGGAAAUGAAUAGAUCCCAUGCACACCCUCCCUCCUCCUUGGCAGGCUACUCCCUGCCCUCCCCAUGAGGUUCCAGGAGCCCGUGACAUUAUCUGCAAACUCCCAUGAGAGGCCCCAGACCACGGCCGUGAGCCCUGAGAAUGAUGAAUAUGCAGGAAGGGACGGUGUGCCAGACAGGGGAGCCAGGGCUGGGCGGGGGCAACCAUGCAGGGCAAGGGAGCCAGGGCUGGACUGGUGGGGAGGGGCUCCCAGGGUCCGAGCACCCUUGGAGAGGGCCCCAUCACUGGCAGGCCCAUUUGCCCUCCUAAAGAGCCAGAAGCUGUCAUUUGUAUGUCUGCAUUCUCCAGAUCUGUGGACUCCGGAGUCUUAGAAAUCCUCCUGGCGGCUGAGCAUCCCACUGGCCGCAAUUAACCUGUUCAAUACUAGGUCAGCAACUUUGCUGAGGAUGUUUGCUGAUGGCAUUCUACUGGGUGCACUGGUACUGUUGACUCUGGUCCACAGAAAGCCUGACACGUCCCUUGUGACAGAAGAAAGCUAGGAGCAAAUUCUGCCUGCAUCACAGAAUCCUUAGGCUGAGUGUGACAUUUGGAGGUCACCUGGUCCAUCCCUGUGCCUGCAGGCAGGCCUGGACAUAAACCGGCCUAGACAGAUGAGAAUCUGUUCUCUCUCUCUGCCUUCAAAAACCUAAGGACAUUUCAUGUAUCCCUUAGUAUCCAAUAUCCCUCAGCCCUGAGACUGUUCCUAGAGGUCAUCUGUAUUCCAGGGGUUCUCUGAUAGGUGUCUCAAGGCAGAGGCGAGGAACAACCCAUCGUGUGCUGUAUGCAGUGGGUGCUAGAGUGUGUUCCCAUGGGCUUCUCAGAGCCCACCAUGCACGCGUCUCUCUUCCAACUCAGGGUUCCGUGAUAUCACGUUGGUAGUUUGUGGUCAGCCACGGGACAAGUAUUUACACCACGGAAAUUGGCAAAUGCUGCCAAUGAGGAGCAGCCUUUUCCCCCCAGAGGACAAGUUGCUCAACAUUCGCUAGCAUACAACUAGUUGUAUACAGCAAUACUCCUGCAUAGAACUUGGGUAACAGUCAUCCUCUGUACCCUUCACUUUAGUGUCUUGAAGCUCCCUCACUGGCGGGACCAUAAUUUCCCCGGAGCAGAGGCUGUGCCUUGCAGGGGACUUUUUUUCCAGCAGCUUGCAUGGCGCCCGUUUGCCAAAGGAAUGAAGGACACUUAUCAAAUCA